UACGUAGGGGGCAAGCGUUGUCCGGAAUCAUUGGGCGUAAAGAGCGUGUAGGCGGCCAGAUAAGUCCGCUGUGAAAUCUCGAGGCUCAACUUCGAGCUGUCGGUGGAAACUGUCUGGCUAGAGUCCGGAAGAGGAGAAUGGAAUUCCUGGUGUAGCGGUGAAAUGCGCAGAUAUCAGGAAGAACACCCGUGGCGAAGGCGGUCUGCUGGGCCGUUGCUGACGCUGAGGCGCGACAGCGUGGGGAGCAAACAGG
rnacentral:rRNA from 1 species